rnacentral:rRNA from 1 species
AUUGAACGCUGGCGGCAGGCCUAACACAUGCAAGUCGAGCGGAUGAGAAGAGCUUGCUCUUCGAUUCAGCGGCGGACGGGUGAGUAAUGCCUAGGAAUCUGCCUGGUAGUGGGGGACAACGUUUCGAAAGGAACGCUAAUACAGCAUACGUCCUACGGGAGAAAGCAGGGGACCUUCGGGCCUUGCGCUAUCAGGUGAGCCUAGGUCGGAUUAGCUAGUUGGUGAGGUAAUGGCUCACCAAGGCGACGAUCCGUAACUGGUCUGAGAGGAUGAUCAGUCACACUGGAACUGAGGCACGGUCCAGACUCCUACGGGAGGCAGCAGUGGGGAAUAUUGGACAAUGGGCGAAAGCCUGAUCCAGCCAUGCCGCGUGUGUGAAGAAGGUCUUCGGAUUGUAAAGCACUUUAAGUUGGGAGGAAGGGCAGUAAGUUAAUACCUUGCUGUUUUGACGUUACCAACAGAAUAAGCACCGGCUAACUCUGCGCCAGCCGCCGCCGUAAUAC